AUGCCUGGCUAUAAGCUGGCUUUAAUCUUGACAGCCAUGCCGCAGCCAGAGACUACUGCUGCUUUGAAAAGUAUGAUACAAGCCCUGAUGAACAGAGGAGCAAUAGUGAGGGACUUGCAAAACCUGGGCAAAUGAGCACUUCCUUAUAAGAUCUUCGUCAACAGCACAGCAGAGGUGGGUAUUUCUUGGUGAAUUUUUAUGCACCAACCACAACUGUUGAAAGCAUGAUGGAGCACUUGUCUAGAGAUGUAGAUGUGAUUGGACAGAGUACUGUAAAACAUCCCAGGAACUAAAAGAAUAUGAAGAGAUUGUCCUAGUCUCACUUGAAGAAAAACUGUAUUCCACAAAGCAGCAGCAG
rnacentral:lncRNA from 1 species